AGAUUGAACGCUGGCGGCAUGCCUAACACAUGCAAGUCGAACGGGAGUAGCAAUACUCUAGUGGCGGACGGGUGAGGAAUACGUAGGAAUUUGCCCUUAAGUGGGGGAUAACCCGGGGAAACCCGGAUUAAUACCGCAUGACCUCGAAAGAGCAAAGUGGGGGAUCGCAAGACCUCACGCUUUUGGAGAAGCCUACGUCGGAUUAGCUAGUUGGUGAGGUAAUGGCUCACCAAGGCGACGAUCCGUAACUGGUCUGAGAGGAUGAUCAGUCACACCGGAACUGAGACACGGUCCGGACUCCUACGGGAGCAGCAGUGGGGAAUAUGGACAAUGGGCGCAAGCCUGAUCCAGCAAUGCCGCGUGUGUGAAGAAGGCCUUCGGGUUG
rnacentral:rRNA from 1 species